GAUAAACGCUGGCGGCGCACAUAAGACAUGCAAGUUGAACGGACUUAAUCGAAAUAUUUAUAUUUUGAAGCGGUUAGUGGCGGACUGGUGAGUAACGCGUAAGGAACCUGCCUAUUAGAGGGGAAUAACAGUGAGAAAUCAUUGCUAAUACCGCAUAUGCCAUAGAUAUCACAUGAUAACAGUGGGAAAGGAGCAAUCCGCUAAUAGAUGGCCUUGCGUCUGAUUAGAUAGUUGGUGGGGUAACGGCCUACCAAGUCGACGAUCAGUAGCCGGACUGAGAGGUUGAACGGCCACAUUGGGACUGAGAUACGGCCCAGACUCCUACGGGAGGCAGCAGUCGGGAAUAUUGCGCAAUGGAGGAAACUCUGACGCAGUGACGCCGCGUAUAGGAAGAAGGUUUUCGGAUUGUAAACUAUUGUCGUUAGGGAAGUGAAAGGACAGUACCUAAGGAGGAAGCUCCGGCUAACUACGUG
rnacentral:rRNA from 1 species